UGGGGAAUAUUGCGCAAUGGGCGAAAGCCUGACGCAGCAACGCCGCGUGGGUGAUGAAGGUUUUCGGAUCGUAAAGCCCUGUCAGGUGGGACGAGCAAGGACGGUACCACCGAAGGAAGCACCGGCUAACUCCGUGCCAGCAGCCGCGGUAAUACGGAGGGUGCAAACGUUGUUCGGAAUCAUUGGGCGUAAAGCGCACGCAGGCGGUCUGGCAGGUCGGAUGUGAAAUCCCGGGGCUCAACCCCGGAAUUGCGUUCGAAACCUCCAGGCUGGAGUCACAGAGGGAGAGGUGGAAUUCCUGGUGUAGAGGUGAAAUUCGUAGAUAUCAGGAGGAACACCGGUGGCGAAGGCGACCUCUUGGCUGAUGACUGACGCUGAGGUGCGAAAGCGUGGGGAGCAA
rnacentral:rRNA from 1 species